rnacentral:ncRNA from 1 species
CUAAACUUCCCGCACUCUGGUGCUCGCGCGCUUGUCGGUGCGUGCAGUCAAACGGUAAGCGACCGCAUGUGCCGAGCUCAUGCAGGUCGGUCCUGGUCACAAGGUUCGCAGUUCAACAUGCGAGUGUGCCACUGCGCGUCACGCGUGGGAAGGCGGGAUCGACGUGUCGUAGCCAGGAUACCUGCCAGACAGGAGGGACGUCC